rnacentral:rRNA from 1 species
AGAGUUUGAUCCUGGCUCAGGACGAACGCUGGCGGCGUGCCUAAUGAAUGCGAGUCAAACGAGGACAGGUAACUGAGUUUAUCCUUCGGGAUUUACUCGACCUCCUGACCAAGUGGCAAACGGGUGAGUAACACGUGGGCAACGUGCCCCAGAGACGGGCAUAACGGUGGGAAACCACUGCUAAUUCCCGAUGGUCUGUUGGCGACUUAAGUCACCUUCAGUAAAGGCCUCGGCUGCUCUGGGAUCGGCCCGCGCCCCAUUAGCUUGUUGGUAAGGUAACGGCUUACCAAGGCGACGAUGGGUAGCUGGUCUGAGAGGACGAUCAGCCACACUGGGACUGAGACAUGGUCCAGACUCCUACGGGAGUUAGCAUCCGGGAAUCUUGCGCAAUGGGCGAAAGCCUGACGCAGCGACGCCGCGUGGGUGAUGAAGGCUUGCGGGUCGUAAAACCCUGUCAAGAGGGAAGAAUGCCUGGUUAUGCCAGGUUGACGG